rnacentral:lncRNA from 1 species
GAUUGGAGGUUCUCCAUCCUCCAUAAUUCAAGAAAAGACAAAUAAACACCCACCAGUUGUGAGGGGAGAAGAAUUAGCUAAUAUGCAGGUGGUGUGGAAACUGCAAAAGUAAGGAAUGCAGUGGGAGAAAACAAAAACACGUCUUUUCUCUGAGAGUCACUCGACAGUCUUCAAACAAACUAGAUGUCUCCAUGAGUCGCUCCACAAAGUGUGGUACGCCAGGAUUCAACAACUAGAAUGCAAGUCUCUCUUCCGAAAAACCAGUGGCCACUCAUCCCAAGAGGAAAGAAAAACUGUUAGUUACCAUGUGCCCAUGAAGAUCAUCCAUGUUGAAGUUGUACUGAAACCUAUACUUGGAUAGUCGACUUCAGACUUAGGAGCAAGGAAACAAUCGGCUGCAUUUAAGGACAGAAAAGCUCUCCCAGACAUUUCAUCUCAACAGUGUGUGUGUGUUUAGACUAAAGAUUAUGCCACCAUAAAACAGACUAAAGACUGUUAAUUAGUGGGCU